GUGAUUGCCCUCUGGGCUUAAAACUAUAUCCAUAUACACCUGUGAACCGUUUGAUUGACUCUUCUGAGUUGAUUUUACAAACAUUGUGUAAUGAACGUCUAGUUAUUAUAACAAAAA
rnacentral:misc_RNA from 1 species